CUCUUAUCAAGAGAGGUGGAGGGAAGUGCCCUAUGAAGCCCGGCAACCAUCAACAUUGUUGAAAUGGUGCCAAUUCACACAAAGCGAUUCGCUUUGGAAGAUGAGAG
rnacentral:ncRNA from 2 species